AUGAGUCAAGAUGAUUAUCAGAAUGUCUAGCAGAUUACCCAGGCCUUGCACCUGGAUCAAUGGGCUGCCCUAAUGAAGGAUAUCAAAAAUGAAGGGGCAGCUAAAGAAAAAUAAAAGACACCUCAGAAAGUAGCCUGCCUCUUUGACAAGGGACAUGCCUUCAGAGGAACAUAACAGAAACCUCUGAGAAUUGUCAACAAUAAAAAGACUGAGCAACAAGGGAAACUGGUAGGAAGCCAAAGGUUUUAAGAGGUGAGAGUGGAGAAAUGCUGUGCUUUUAUUGAUCCUCUCCAAAGGAACACCUUUAAAAAAGCAUGAUAUAAAUUGGCACUAAUCCUCAUAAGAGAAGAAUGUCAGCCAAGCCAGUGAAGGAAUUUUGGAGUUCGCUUUGAAGACUUAUGCACUCUCCAGCUGGUCACAGACACUACACUCACCCAUUUUGUAAAUACACUUUUUUUUGUUUUGUUUUUUAAGCUUCUCACUUCAGUAUCUACCAGACAGGCUUGUGCAAGGAGUGAACUAGUAUUGUAUCUGUUAAUUUCUUUGCAGGCAAAAAUCAAGUUACCAGGAAAAUAUUUUUUAAAAACCACGAACAGUCUAAGAGCACUGAACAUUUUGAAUCAUUUGCCUUUUCUCAACACUGGAUUUUAAGCAAGGAACAAGACUAUUCCAGUUCUAAAUGCUUUAAUGAACAAGGGGUAUUGGGUUUUAGCAUCAACAUGAUCUAUCCUCACUCUGAAGCUUUAACUUGAGUAGCUGCUGUGCUUUGUAAAGCUUCAAUCCAAUUCAUUUGAUAACUACAAUUACCAAAUCUGGGCAUUGCUGACUACACAGUUCAAAAAAACAGCAUGGAGGGAAGACCUGCUGAGAACCUUAGAAUCUAUCGAUAAGCUCUUGAAAUGGUUUAAAGUAAUAAACCACUUCAAUUGAAAGGGCAAUAAAAUGUUUUUCGUGUAUAUAUGUACAUAA
ensembl:lncRNA LINC02053 long intergenic non-protein coding RNA 2053